rnacentral:misc_RNA from 1 species
GAUGAAGAACGCAGCGAAAUGCGAUACGUAAUGUGAAUUGCAGAAUUCAGUGAAUCAUCGAGUCUUUGAACGCACAUUGCGCCCUCUGGUAUUCCGGAGGGCAUGCCUGUCCGAGCGUCAUUGCUGCCCUCAAGCACGGCUUGUGUGUUGGGCUCCGUCCCCCGAUCCCGGGGGACGGGCCCGAAAGGCAGCGGCGGCACCGCGUCCGGUCCUCGAGCGUAUGGGGCUUUGUCACCCGCUCUGUAGGCCCGGCCGGCGCUUGCCGAUCUACCAAAUUUUUAUCCAGGUUGACCUCGGAUCAGGUAGGGAUACCCGCUGAACUUAAGCAUAUCAAUAAGCGGAGGA